UACGUAGGGUGCGAGCGUUGUCCGGAAUUAUUGGGCGUAAAGAGCUUGUAGGCGGUUUGUCGCGUCUGCUGUGAAAUCUCAAGGCUCAACCUUGAGCUUGCAGUGGGUACGGGCAGACUAGAGUGUGGUAGGGGAGACUGGAAUUCCUGGUGUAGCGGUGAAAUGCGCAGAUAUCAGGAGGAACACCGAUGGCGAAGGCAGGUCUCUGGGCCACUACUGACGCUGAGAAGCGAAAGCAUGGGGAGCAAACAGG
rnacentral:rRNA from 1 species